rnacentral:tRNA from 1 species
AGAAAGUUAGUCUAAUCUUAAGACUGUUGAUUUCGGCUCAAUAAAUUACAGCUCAUUACUGUAACUUUCUU